GUCAUAGCUCAGUGGUAAGGCAUCUGCUUUGUAUGCAAAAGGGUCCGGGUUCAAAUCCUCAAACCCUGGAGAGCCA